GGUAGGUGAGGCCCGAGCGAAGAAAAGUGGAAAAAGAGUGUUAUUCGUCAAAAAACCCACACAACGACGGUCAUUUUUUCGCCGUGCUAUUGUAAAAUUGUCUUUUAUCUGUGUUUUGUGUUCCGGGGGACACCGACUCCAGAAUUUGAAAGUUUCCCGCGUGAAGCCGUGGAGCUCGAGAUCCUGUUUACUGUGGACUAGCUGUGUGUGACGCCCUGUUGUUUUUGUUUCCAUUAAAAAAAAAAAGGAACAUGGAGUUGGGAUUUGCAAUCUGAGGCAGAGAAUGAGGAGCUGCCAGAAAAAAGGAACAGGAAGCCAGUCCAUCGUCUCGGGGACUUGGAUGAUAGCGAAGAAGACCCGGGAAAUGGUGACCUCGCAUCUCUGGGGUUGGCAAGCCAAUUGCACAGGCAGACUCCACCGUCUCGCCGAGUGCCAGCAAGAGUCAUGAGUAC